GGGUACCAUGGCCCUGGGCCCAGCGGACCCAUGCAGGACCCCACAGGUCAAGGUUUCCACCCAAUGGCUGGCCAGAUGGGCCAGACCAGGAUACCCCAUCAUGAGGCUGAGGCCCCAAGCGGUGGUUCCUAACCAGCCUAAUACACUGAGGUUACAGCUGCAGCACCGGCUACAGGUACAACAGAAUCGCCAACCAAUGAUGAACCAGAUAGUGGAGUGUCCAAUAUGAACCAAAA